GACAAAAGCAUUUCAUUCCUCACUCGUCGGGACAGAGCUGUAUAGGCUACAAUGACCACAUCACUGAAGUCCAGUUCUUGGAGCUCAAACCUUAGUCUAUGGACCUCCUCAUGUCUCAGGCUCUCCAGCUGGACCAGCACAUAUUCAGAAACAGAUCCAUAAAAUUCAGCAAUGGACGGAUUUAACCUUUCAUGAUUAAUCGGGCACCUCUGAGGGCCACUAAUGAAGAAAAGUGAAGGCUUCUUAAGUCUGCAGAAGGUUUGAAAUGAUGUAAACUGCAUUCCAAGGAGUGGAAAUUCUGGAUGAUUACUGUUCAUUACAUUUCUGUAUGCAGCAUUUAAAUCAGUCAAGUGGUUGGAAAAUCAAUUCCAGUUGAAAUUAAGAGUUUGCCUGGAUGUAAAUCUGGGGUUUACUAUUAUUUUCUAUGUAUAAGACAACUGCUUGGUGUAAUGCAAAUGUACAAAAUGUGUUAAAGUUCUUAUAGAAGUAGUUGCAUGGUGUAUAUGCCUACUAAUAAAUAAAUACAUCUAAGAAUAAUUUAUUUUGUGAAGAAGCAAAAAUGGUUGAAUCGGUUGUUCUUUUGUUGUCUAUGGUGGACGUCUGACAAACAUGCUCAAACUUCAGUGUGCAUUGAAAUCUAUUUGCUUUUGUAAUAAAACAAAUUUCAUCAGUGCAAUACAUUUUAAUUUACAAUAAAAUAUCAGUUACUUUUUCGAAUAAGUAUGCCAGUUUUCCCGUUUAUGCUUUUGACUGACCACUCUCGUGUUGCCAGGUUGAGAGAAUUCAGGAGUAAGUCCACUGUUCCCAUGUAAACAUGAUGUUUCUAUAUUCUAAACUGAAUGUGAACAUUAACUUAUCUCACUUGCACAAAAACAGAUUCACUAUUCCUCAAAAUAAAUAAAA